GAUGAACGCUGGCGGCGUGCCUAAUACAUGCAAGUCGCGCGAAUGGAUUAAGAGCUUGCUCUUAUGAAGUUAGCGGCGGACGGGUGAGUAACACGUGGGUAACCUGCCCAUAAGACUGGGAUAACUCCGGGAAACCGGGGCUAAUACCGGAUAACAUUUUGAACCGCAUGGUUCGAAAUUGACAGGCGGCUUCGGCUGUGACUUAUGGAUGGACCGGCGUCGCAUUAGCUAGUUGGUGAGGUAACGGCUCACCAAGGCAACGAUGCGUAGCCGACCUGAGAGGGUGAUCGGCCACACUGGGACUGAGACACGGCCCAGACUCCUACGGGAGGCAGCAGUAGGGAAUCUUCCGCAAUGGACGAAAGUCUGACGGAGCAACGCCGCGUGAGUGAUGAAGGCUUUCGGGUCGUAAAACUCUGUUGUUAGGGAAGAACAAGUGCUAGUUGAAUAAGCUGGCACCUUGACGGUACCUAACCAGAAAGCCACGGCUAACUACGUGCCAGCAGCCGCGGUAA
rnacentral:rRNA from 1 species